rnacentral:rRNA from 1 species
GACGAACGCUGGCGGCGUGCCUAAUACAUGCAAGUUGAGCGCUGAAGGUUGGUACUUGUACCAACUGGAUGAGCAGCGAACGGGUGAGUAACGCGUGGGGAAUCUGCCUUUGAGCGGGGGACAACAUUUGGAAACGAAUGCUAAUACCGCAUAAAAACUUUAAACACAAGUUUUAAGUUUGAAAGAUGCAAUUGCAUCACUCAAAGAUGAUCCCGCGUUGUAUUAGCUAGUUGGUGAGGUAAAGGCUCACCAAGGCGAUGAUACAUAGCCGACCUGAGAGGGAUCGGCCACAUUGGGACUGAGACACGGCCCAAACUCCUACGGGAGGCAGCAGUAGGGAAUCUUCGGCAAUGGACGAAAGUCUGACCGAGCAACGCCGCGUGAGUGAAGAAGGUUUUCGGAUCGUAAAACUCUGUUGGUAGAGAAGAACGUUGGUGAGAGUGGAAAGCUCAUCAAGUGACGGUAACUACCCAGAAAGGGACGGCUAACUACGUG